rnacentral:lncRNA from 1 species
CUUUAACUUCCUUCAAAAAUACCAUUCAGUAAUGUAGCGAGGCAACAAGAUCAGUAUUACCAAUGUCACUGUACAUUUGAUUAUGUAAAGUCUUGCCUGGCAUAUCAUGACAAAAUGCUGGAUUCUCAUUGCUAGAACUUAAUUAAUUCCCAUUGUUCUAAUUUGAUUACCUCUGCAAAUUGAGUUUGCAUUUUAAUUGUACCAGUUGGGGUCCCUGGGUUUCUCUGGUGCCAGACACAGACAUGACCAGUGAACUCCAACAGCACCACCUCAGACUAUUGCCAGGCAGAAAGUGAAAACAGCAGCCAGCCCUGAACCUUCCUGGAAAAGCAGUAAGCAAAAACAGAAGAAUUUCUGAAGCUGAAAUUGCUUAGUGGUUCAGAAGAAAUGUGGUGAUCCAUAGAAUAAAACUGUUCAUGGAGUGGACA